GACGAACGCUGGCGGCGUGCCUAAUACAUGCAAGUCGAACGCAGUGGGGACGGGUGAGUAACACGUGGGUAACCUCCCAUCAGAGGGGAUAACACUUGGAAACAGGUGCUAAACCGCUAAUGAUGGCUGGACCCGCUGUGCGUUAGCUAGUGGGUGAGGGAACGGCUCACAAAGGCCACGAUGCAUAGGCGACCUGAUCGUGUGGGCGGCCACACUGGCACGUAGACACGGCCCAGACUCCUACGGGACGCGUCAGUAGGGAAGCUUCGGCAAUGGACGAAAGUCUGACCGAGCACCGCCGCGUGAGUGAAGAAGGUUUUCGGAUCGUAAACCUCUGUUGUGAGAGAAGCGGUAUCUAACCAGAAAGCCACGGCUAACUACGUGCCAGCAGCCGCGGUAAUAC
rnacentral:rRNA from 1 species